rnacentral:rRNA from 1 species
UGCCUAAUACAUGCAAGUAGAACGCUGAAGAGAGGAGCUUGCUCUUCUUGGAUGAGUUGCGAACGGGUGAGUAACGCGUAGGUAACCUGCCUUGUAGCGGGGGAUAACUAUUGGAAACGAUAGCUAAUACCGCAUAACAAUGGAUGACACAUGUCAUUUAUUUGAAAGGGGCAAUUGCUCCACUACAAGAUGGACCUGCGUUGUAUUAGCUAGUAGGUGAGGUAACGGCUCACCUAGGCGACGAUACAUAGCCGACCUGAGAGGGUGAUCGGCCACACUGGGACUGAGACACGGCCCAGACUCCUACGGGAGGCAGCAGUAGGGAAUCUUCGGCAAUGGGGGCAACCCUGACCGAGCAACGCCGCGUGAGUGAAGAAGGUUUUCGGAUCGUAAAGCUCUGUUGUAAGUCAAGAACGAGUGUGAGAGUGGAAAGUUCACACUGUGACGGUAGCUUACCAGAAAGGGACGGCUAACUACGUGCCAGCAGCCGCGGUAAUACGUAGGUCCCGAGCGUUGUCCGGAUUUAUUGGGCGUAAAGCGAGCGCAGGCGGUUUGAUAAGUCUGAAGUUAAAGGCUGUGGCUCAACCAUAGUUCGCUUUGGAAACUGUCAAACUUGAGUGCAGAAGGGGAGAGUGGAAUUCCAUGUGUAGCGGUGAAAUGCGUAGAUAUAUGGAGGAACACCGGUGGCGAAAGCGGCUCUCUGGUCUGUAACUGACGCUGAGGCUCGAAAGCGUGGGGAGCGAACAGGAUUAGAUACCCUGGUAGUCCACGCCGUAAACGAUGAGUGCUAGGUGUUGGAUCCUUUCCGGGAUUCAGUGCCGCAGCUAACGCAUUAAGCACUCCGCCUGGGGAGUACGACCGCAAGGUUGAAACUCAAAGGAAUUGACGGGGGGCCCGCACAAGCGGUGGAGCAUGUGGUUUAAUUCGAAGCAACGCGAAGAACCUUACCAGGUCUUGACAUCCCGAUGCUAUUUCUAGAGAUAGAAAGUUACUUCGGUACAUCGGUGACAGGUGGUGCAUGGUUGUCGUCAGCUCGUGUCGUGAGAUGUUGGGUUAAGUCCCGCAACGAGCGCAACCCCUAUUGUUAGUUGCCAUCAUUCAGUUGGGCACUCUAGCGAGACUGCCGGUAAUAAACCGGAGGAAGGUGGGGAUGACGUCAAAUCAUCAUGCCCCUUAUGACCUGGGCUACACACGUGCUACAAUGGUUGGUACAACGAGUUGCGAGUCGGUGACGGCAAGCUAAUCUCUUAAAGCCAAUCACAGUUCGGAUUGUAGGCUGCAACUCGCCUACAUGAAGUCGGAAUCGCUAGUAAUCGCGGAUCAGCACGCCGCGGUGAAUACGUUCCCGGGCCUUGUACACACCGCCCGUCACACCACGAGAGUUUGUAACACCCGAAGUCGGUGAGGUAACCUUUUGGAGCCAGCCGCCUAAGGUGGGAUAGAUGAUUGGGGUGAAGUCAUA